UACAGAGGUCCCAAGCGUUGUUCGGAUUCAUUGGGCGUAAAGGGCGCGUAGGCGGCAAUUCAAGUCAGCUGUGAAAUCUCCGGGCUUAACUCGGAACGGUCAGCUGAUACUGCUUUGCUAGAGUGCAGAAGGGGCAAUCGGAAUUCUUGGUGUAGCGGUGAAAUGCGUAGAUAUCAAGAGGAACACCUGAGGUGAAGACGGGUUGCUGGGCUGACACUGACGCUGAGGCGCGAAAGCUAGGGUAGCAAACGGG
rnacentral:rRNA from 1 species